CAGCCGCCGCGGUAAUACGUAGGUGGCAAGCGUUGUCCGGAAUUAUUGGGCGUAAAGGGCUCGCAGGCGGUUUCUUAAGUCUGAUGUGAAAGCCCCCGGCUCAACCGGGGAGGGUCAUUGGAAACUGGGAAACUUGAGUGCAGAAGAGGAGAGUGGAAUUCCACGUGUAGCUGUGAAAUGCGUAGAGAUGUGGAGGAACACCAGUGGCGAAGGCGACUCUCUGGUCUGUAACUGACGCUGAGGAGCGAAAGCGUGGGGAGCGAACAGGAUUAGAUACCCCCGUAGUCCCUGUCUCUUAUAC
rnacentral:rRNA from 1 species